rnacentral:rRNA from 1 species
UACGUAGGGGGCUAGCGUUGCUCGGAAUCACUGGGCGUAAAGGGUGCGUAGGCGGGUUUUUAAGUCAGGGGUGAAAUCCUGGAGCUCAACUCCAGAACUGCCUUUGAUACUGAAAAUCUUGAGUCCGGGAGAGGUGAGUGGAACUGCGAGUGUAGAGGUGAAAUUCGUAGAUAUUCGCAAGAACACCAGUGGCGAAGGCGGCUCACUGGCCCGGUACUGACGCUGAGGAGCGAAAGCGUGGGGAGCGAACAGG